rnacentral:tRNA from 1 species
UCCCUCAUGGCUCAGUGGUAAAGAAUCUGUCUGCGGUACAGAAGACCCAGGUUGGAUUCCUGGGUCGGGAA